rnacentral:lncRNA from 1 species
AUGGCGGAUGACACCAGUGCAGUGGGAGGGCCCGGAGGACCCGGGGCCCAGGAUUAGGAGGCCACAGCGGCUUCUGUGGAGGAUUUGGCAGCGGUCUUAGGGGCCACAGUCGUGGUUGAGGCUGUGGCCAUGGUCGAGGCCGCGGGGCUCGUGGAGGUAAAGCUGAAGAUAAGGAGUGGAUCCCCAUCACCAAGCUGGGCCGCCUGGUUAGGACAUGAAGAUCAAGGCCUUGGAGGAGAUCUACCUGUUCUCCUUGCCCAUUAAGGAGUCUGAGAUCAUUGACUUUUUCCUGGGUGCAGUCCUAUAGGAUGAGGUUCCGAAAAUCAUGCCAGUGCAGAAGCAGACUCAGGCUGGCCAGUGGACCAGGUUCAAGGCAUUCGUUGCUAUUGGGGACUACAAUGGUCAGGUUGGUCUUGGCGUUAAGUGCUCCAAGGAGGUUGCCACUGCCAUCUGAGGGGCCAUCAUCUUGGCCAAGCUUUCCAUCGUCCCUGUGUGGAGAGGCUACUGGGGGAACAAGAUUGGCAAGCCCCACACUGUUCCGUGCAAGGUGACAGGCCGCUGUGGCUCUGUGCUGGUGCGUCUCAUCCCUGCCCCCAGAGGCACUGGCAUUGUCUCUGCUCCUGUGCCCAAGAAGCUCCUGAUGAUGGCCGGUAUAGAUGACUGCUACACUUCAGCCAGGGGCUGCACUGCCACCCUGGGAACUUUGCCAAGGCCAACUUUGAUGCCUUCUCCAAGACUUACAGCUACCUGACUGCUGACCUCUGGAAAGAGACUGUGUUCACCAAGUCUCCUUCUCAGGAAUUCACUCGUCAUCUUGUGAAAACCCACACCAGAGUCUCUGUUAAGAGGACCCAGGUUCCAGCUGUGCCUAAAACAUAA